CAGAGAGCUGUGGCUAGAGCUCAGGAAGAAAAAGAGGGUUUAUGGCCUUUGUAAAAGAGGGUUGGCCACUCAGGAGGACGAUAAGGCUGUUGCGAGGCUGUGCAGGGACAAAAUUAGAAAGGCCAAAGCUCAUCUGGAUCUCAAUCUGACUACUG